rnacentral:rRNA from 1 species
GACGAACGCUGGCGGCGUGCUUAACACAUGCAAGUCGAACGAAGUGGCGCACGGGUGAGUAACGCGUAAUCAACCUGCCCUUCAUAGGGGGACAACAGUUGGAAACGACUGCUAAUACCUCAUACUGAAGUAGGGGAUUGCGUCUGCUUAGCUAGUUGGAGGGGUAACGGCCCACCAAGGCGAUGAUCAGUAGCCGGUCUGAGAGGAUGAACGGCAACAUUGGGACUGAGACACGGCCCAGACUCCUACGGGAGGCAGCAGUGGGGAAUCUGCCGCAAUGGAAGAAAGUCUGACGGAGCAACGCCGCGUGAGUGAUGACGGCCUUCGGGUUGUAAAGCUCUGUUAAUCGGGACGCGGUACCGGAAUAGAAGGCCACGGCUAACUACGUGCCAGCAGCCGCGGUAAUUC